rnacentral:rRNA from 1 species
UACGUAGGUGGCAAGCGUUGUCCGGAUUUACUGGGCGUAAAGAGCGCGCAGGCGGUCGUUCAAGUCGCGUGUGAAAGCCCCCGGCUCAACUGGGGAGGGUCACGCGAUACUGAUCGACUCGAAGGCAGGAGAGGGAAGUGGAAUUCCCGGUGUAGUGGUGAAAUGCGUAGAUAUCGGGAGGAACACCGGUGGCGAAGGCGGCCCUCUGGACGGAUACUGACGCUGAGGCGCGAAAGCGUGGGGAUCAAACAGG